GAUGAACGCUGGCGGCGUGCCUAAUACAUGCAAGUCGAGCGAAGCGGGGACGGGUGCGUAACACGUGGAUAACAUCCUCUAAGACUGGGAUAACUUCGGGAAACCGGAGCUAAUCAGGAUGCUUAUCGCUGGUUCCGCGCUGCAUUAGCUAGUUGGUAAGGGAACGGCUUCCCAAGGCAACGAUGCAUCGCAGACCUGAGAGGGGGAACGGCCACACCGGGACUGAGACACGGUCCAUACUCCCACGGGGGGCAGCAGGAGGGAAUCUUCCGCAAUGGGCGAAAGGCUGACGGAGCAACGCCGGGUGAGUUAUGAAGGGCUUCGGAUCGUAAAACUCUGUUAUUAGGGAAGCGGUACCUAAUCAGAGAGCCACGGCUAACUACGGUCCAGCAGCCGGGGUAAUUC
rnacentral:rRNA from 1 species